rnacentral:rRNA from 1 species
CCUACGGGUGGCAGCAGUGGGGAAUAUUGCACAAUGGAGGAAACCCUGAUGCAGCAACGCCGCGUGGGUGAAGGAGCGUUUCGGAGCGUAAAGCCCUGUCGGAGGGGAAGAAGAUAAACGUUACACGUCCAAGAACCCCGGGCUAACUACGGGCCAGCAGCGGCGGUACUACGUAGGGGGCAAGCGUUGUCCGGAAUAACGGGGUGUAAGGGGAGGGUAGGCGGAGAGGUAAGUCAGAGGUGGAAUCCAGGGGCUUAACUUUGGAACUGCCUUGAGAAGUGUUUUGCUGGAGUAUCGGAGGGGUAAGUGGAAUUCCCGGUGUAGCGGUGAAAUGCGUAGAUAUCAGGUGGAACACCAGUGGCGAAGGCGACUAUCUGGAU